AACGAACGCUGGCGGCAGGCCUAACACAUGCAAGUCGAGCGCGCCCUUCGGGGUGAGCGGCGGACGGGUGAGUAACGCGUGGGAACGUGCCCUUUUCUACGGAAUAGCCUCGGGAAACUGAGAGUAAUACCGUAUACGCCCUUUGGGGGAGAGAUUUAUCGGAAAAGGAUCGGCCCGCGUUGGAUUAGGUAGUUGGUGGGGUAAUGGCCUACCAAGCCGACGAUCCAUAGCUGGUUUGAGAGGAUGAUCAGCCACACUGGGACUGAGACACGGCCCAGACUCCUACGGGAGGCAGCAGUGGGGAAUCUUAGACAAUGGGGGCAACCCUGAUCUAGCCAUGCCGCGUGAGUGAUGAAGGCCUUAGGGUUGUAAAGCUCUUUCAGCUGGGAAGAUAAUGACGGUACCAGCAGAAGAAGCCCCGGCUAACUCCGUG
rnacentral:rRNA from 1 species